rnacentral:lncRNA from 1 species
UCCAAGCUGAGCUUCAGCCUUGCAAGAUUCAAAUCUAUCUUAUCUUAAAAGAAUGCACCCUCUUCAUUUUUUAAAAAGGAUCAUUUUAAAGCUGCUGAGGGUUUUCCAAACAAAAGAAAAACUGUCUUGGCAAAACCGCAUCAAAUUUCAGAGACCAAAGAAGCUGAUGAAAGUGAUCCGGAUGCUCAAGGGUGAGGUCUGGGAGUGGGAGGGCUUUAUCCUGCUGUUUGAGAGAAUAUCUACGUUGGGGACUUGGAAAUCUGUUUCACUGUAAUGGUGGAAAACCAGCAGUAAUUCUGAAAAAAAUAUGGUUGCUGCAACCAGGAAAAGCAGAUUUCAAAGUACAAAGCAAGUCACCACAGGCAAUGCCAGUGAGGCAUUCCAGUGACACCAGAGCCCUUGAACAAAGCUGGAGCCCAGGUGACCUCCACAGGGCCCACUCCAGCAUUACUCCCUUUUUCAGGAUGAACAUUUGGGCUUUUACCCUGUGAAUGUGCCAGGCUCCACAAGGCCAAGGUCAGUCCCUCAGCCCUCCUGGAACACCCUGAUCUUUUCUAGGUACAAGUUUGCACGAUUCUAGGUACGAGUUUGCAGGAUGACCUCAGGUGGCUGGAGGGAAGAGAGCAGGAGCAGGACUAAAGAGAAAGGCAAUUCUUGGGGUCCAUUUCUUGAGACUGAUUCUUAGGAAAGAAAAAGAAAAAGCCACAGCAUAGUUUGCUUUCCUGUCCAUUUUCCCCUGAAAAGUAAUACUAUCCAUAACUAAGUGUAGGGCAAGAGGAGAAUUGACCUGCUAGUUAAGGCUGCCUCCUCUCCUCAGGGGAUCAUGAGCUUUGACCAGGAUAACCAGCUCGUUUUAGAGCACAUUAAGCACUAGACAGGGUAACAAACAGCUUCCUUUCAAAGCGUAAGAAAGCAAAAUGACAAAGUGGCCUGAGGUGGAAAAGCAAUGAUCAGAAACAUUAAAAAUAAUAGCAGCUGACAGAUGACAUUUAGGACCAGGGACCUCAUCCUCUGCUGGUUAUUAAUAUUCCUGCUCUCCUAUUAUCUUUUUGACGGGAAUGUAAACUCCGUUUGUCUUGGGAUAAACGCGAUACCAGAGCUGAGCAGAUAAGGAGGCGCUUAAUACGUAAUUGUUGGUGUAAACAAAUAAAUAGAUUGUAACGAUGUCAGAAAUGAUUAGUUCAGGUGGAGAGUGUGACUGGCUUCCAAAUAUUGGUCAAGAGCUCUAAGUAGGAUGAGCCAAGGAUACAGUUAAUGUAAUAGGUUCACACGAUCAGGUGACUUUUUUGGGUCUAGAAAUCUGAGGAGGUGACGAUGUACUGAACGGCAGUCUUCCUGCGAGGAAAGAGUUAAAAACACAUCCAGAUCAGGGUUUCUGAGGGACAAGGUGUUCAGCAGGGCUGAGGGCCUCCCUUUCUGCCGGCUGCUCCCCCACGCAGCAGGGGUGAUGCGGACCUUCCGGUCCUGCUGAGUGUGCUUGACCAAAGGUGACGAUGACUAAGGGCUAAGGCCGUGCCCUCCCUCCCUCCAAAUCGAUCCUUUAAUGUGACUUAUCAGAAAGAGAAAGAACUGUUUACUUUCAAACCCUGGAUCCCAUAAAGGGAGAGGGGCAAGGCCUAAAACCCUCACAAGCUCGAGGCUUGGCCCACACAGCCUGCAGAACUAGGGAGCGCGGAAGACACCAUCUCACGGACACAGAAGGGGCCCUGGGCCCAGAGAAGACCUUCGCAUACUGCAAGGUAAGUGCCACCCCCACCCCCAACCCCCCACCCCCCACAUUCCAGCGCCUUCCAACUCCCCUGUGUGAAUUAGGCUGUUCCUCUGGGGCACCACUGACUUCCAGAUGUGGGGUGAGCUGCGACCCAGGUGUUUAUAAAAAGACAUUCCCCGCUCCACCCCCACCCCCGGAGCUAUGUGCUGUGUUCUCUGCACAUUUGAAUUUGUCUGCCAUGGUUAUUCUAUUUCUUCAGAAAGCCUGAGAAAACUGGAGUCUUUGCUAAAGCUUCUUCUCUCCCCAGAGGAAGGAAAGGAUGAGGCUAGGGAGGAGUCUACACCUGGAGGUGGCGUGGAUUUUUAGUUCCGGCCUUGGAGGAGCUGUGUAGGAAGCCAUUUCCGGUUUAACGAUGGCCUGACUUCACAAUAAACACCAAGAUUCCACCAUUAGGAUACUUAGAAUUUGAAGGUUCAUUUGACCAGGAAUCCUCCCCUCCCCAUGCUUGGGAGCAGGCACAGCCCCAAGGCUCACUCUAUUUUGUUCCUCUACUCCUGAAACACCAGCAUCGGACUUGUUUCUCUGUCCCCCUGGUAUUGGUCCCUCGACAGCACUGGAAAUAGCUGGACAACCGCACAGAAAUGAAACCAGUUCCUAGGAAUCCCCCAGCCUCAGCAACUCUCUUUAAAAAGGGUCCGUUGAGACCCCAGCUUGGCUGAGAAUUUGCCCCAGGAUCCCCUCUUGGCUGGAGGUAAUGGUGUAACAGAUGUGGCAUAAGCUUUCCAGAUUUCCCCUUCUAGCUGAAUUUCAAUCAGAAAAGAAAGACUUCCCUGCUCCCUAUUGAGGAGAACAUUCUAUUUUAAAAUUUUCAUGUGCUUUCAAAAUGACAAGACUCAGGCAUAUGCUACUGACUUGCUUUGUCUUCUAGACUAUAAUAGCCUCUAAGAAUCAAACGGAUGCAUUUAACACAUCUAACUGCAAUGACAGAAAAUGUGGAUUUGGAAUUAAGAAAAAGCACAUCCAUUUAUCAUUUGCUUUUUAAGAAUCUUUUUUAGGUGCUGAAGGGUUAGGUUGGCAGCAAAGUGACACUUCACUUCCCCAAAGCAUUCUUUUCUCAGCCCUCUGGAGGUGGCCCUAGAAUGUUCUCAGACCCUGGGAAACAAAAUCUGAAAGCGAAGAUGAGCUGCUUGUGCCCCGAUCUGACCUGAGAUAGCAUAGGGAGUUUUAUGAUGUUCUUGGUACUUGCGAAUCUGAAAUAUCUUCCGAGGAGCUGUGAUGCACACGGAACACUCACAAGGCUCAAUGGGAAAACUGCAUUCUGAAUUGACCGCUGCAACUAGAACCAUCUAGAGAUUCCAUCUAGGUUGGGAAGAGUAAUGAAAGCCUGAAGCAUCCAGGGCCCCCCUGGAGCAGCAGAGGGGAGCUCAGACGCCGCGAUGAGAUUCUGGGAAGUGAAAUGGGCUCAAGAUCUCGACCACUAGAGAGCUCUCCAAGCAUGCCCUACCAGGACCUUUGUCACUGGUGAACUGUUUCCUCCCCAAGAUUCUUUCCAGCUGAGCUAAGAGAUUUCUGGAGCCUCUCGCCAUGGUCAGAACAUCUCUUGAAUGACCAGGAAAUGGGGCUUCCUGUUUAAAUCUCUCGGGCAGAGACAAGGCAGAUGAGCCUGCCUAAGUCUUUAGAAAGAGCUGUAGGGAAGGCCAGAGAUGGCUCAUCAUGCCAAGAUGUCCACUGUGGCCGCACCCAGUGUGCCAGAGGUCUAUGGCAGCGAUAGGGGUUACCUGGGAAUCUAGGGUUGGUAUUCGGUGUGAGUCUUGGUGAAAGUGCCCAGGGGAAAAGUUCCCCUGAAGACAGUGAGUCUAACAGUGGCCAAGUGGCACCUUCCUGCUGCCUGGCACACCUGUAAAGGUGAGCCAGGGUCACAGACAGGAGCUGGAGGAUGUCAGUCACAAACAAAUCAAAAUAGUGAAACAGAAAACAAGGGGCUGAUGCUGCACAGUUAAAACAUAUAUAUGUUAUAGAUCUUGAUAGAACUGGAAAGAAAAAAAAAAAAAAAAGGCAGGAUCAACACUCCAGUCCCAUGGAAGCCGAGUGGCUUUCGUGGUGUGUUAACAACGGCACAGUCCAGGCUAAAGAGGGUGGUUUCAUGUUGAAUAAGGGGUAUUUUUACUAAAAAAAAAAAAAAAAAAAAAA